rnacentral:rRNA from 1 species
CCUACGGGUGGCAGCAGUGAGGAAUAUUGGUCAAUGGGCUUACGCCUGAACCAGCCAAGUCGCGUGAGGGAAGACUGCCCUAUGGGUUGUAAACCUCUUUUGUCAGGGAGCAACGCCGGCUACGUGUAGCCGGAGUGAGAGUACCUGAAGAAAAAGCAUCGGCUAACUCCGUGCCAGCAGCCGCGGUAAUACGGAGGAUGCGAGCGUUAUCCGGAUUUAUUGGGUUUAAAGGGUGCGUAGACGGAAUGCCAAGUCAACGGGAAAAUCGCGGGGCUCAACCUCGCGCCGCCGUUGAAACUGGGAGCCUUGAGUGCGGCGGAGGCAUGCGGAAUGCGCGGUGUAGCGGUGAAAUGCAUAGAUAUCGCGCAGAACCCCGAUUGCGAAGGCAGCGUGCCGUGCCGCCACUGACGCUGAGGCACGAAAGCGCGGGGAUCGAACAGGAUUAGAUACCCUAGUAGUC